UACGUAGGUGGCAAGCGUUGUCCGGAUUUACUGGGCGUAAAGAGCGUGUAGGCGGCUUGGUAGGUCCGCUGUGAAAACUCGAGGCUCAACCUCGAGAUGUCGGCGGAAACCACUUGGCUAGAGUCCGGAAGAGGAGAGUGGAAUUCCUGGUGUAGCGGUGAAAUGCGCAGAUAUCAGGAAGAACACCUAUGGCGAAGGCAGCUCUCUGGGACGGUACUGACGCUGAGACGCGAAAGCGUGGGGAGCGAACAGG
rnacentral:rRNA from 1 species